CCCUUAGAUGUUCUGGGCUGCACGCGUGCUACAAUGGCGUUUCCAGCAAGUCUGCGAACCCGAGAGGGCCAGCGGAUCUUCGAAUUGGCGUCGUGAUCGGGACAGUCGAUUGCAAUUAUUUGACUCAAACGAGGAAUUCCUUGUAAUCGCGAUUCAUCAUAUCGCGCUGAAUACGUCCCUGCCCUUUGUACACACCGCCCGUCGCUCCUACUGAUUGAGCGAUCCGGUAAAUGUUUUGGAUUGGUGCCGGGGCGGCUAGCUGCCGGUCGCUACGAAAUUUUGUGAACCUUAUCGCUUAGAGGAAGGAAAAGUCGUAACA
rnacentral:rRNA from 1 species